rnacentral:rRNA from 1 species
CCUACGGGUGGCUGCAGUGAGGAAUAUUGGUCAAUGGUCGGGAGACUGAACCAGCCAAGCCGCGUGAAGGAUGACGGUACAGAGUAUCGUAAACCUCUUUUGUCAGGGAACAAAAGCUGGGACGCGUCCCCGGAUGAGUGUACCUGAUGAAAAAGCAUCGGCUAACUCCGUGCCAGCAGCCGCGGUAAUACGGAGGAUGCGAGCGUUAUCCGGAUUUAUUGGGUUUAAAGGGUGCGCAGGCGGUCUGUUAAGUCAGCGGUCAAAGCCCGGGGCUCAACCCCGGCUCACCGUUGAAUCUGGCAGUCUUGAGUUGGAGAGAAGUAUGCGGAAUGCGCGGUGUAGCGGUGAAAUGCAUAGAUAUCGCGAAGAACUCCGAUUGCGAAGGCAGCAUGCCGGCUCCACACUGACGCUGAGGCACGAAAGCGUGGGUAUCGAACAGGAUUAGAUACCCGAGUAGUC